UGCGAAGCUGGCUCCCCGCCGCUAGAACCUCCACCACACCCACUGCGCGUGACGGCAGCGCUCCGCUGGCCGCGCAUCCGCCCCAGCCCCGCCGCCCGCGCAUAUGCACCACCCUCUGUGCGCGACGGCGGCGCUCUGGCGGCCGCGCGUCCACCCCAGCCCCCACAUGCGCGUUCUGGGAUGGCGGCGCCCCCCGCGUGUGUCUGCCUCAUGUGCGUCCGGGAUGGCGGCGCUCCCCGCGCACGUGCGCCUGUCCUCGAUGACCGUGCAACGCUAGUUGCUGCCGCCCUGAUCGGGCUCUUCUAGGUGUCAUCGUCGUCAGAAUCAUCAUCACCAAUAUAGUCAUCAACAGGUUCGGGAAUUGCUUCGCUACGCACUUGAUUAAUAAUGGCGGCAGAACCAGUUGUGCCUGCCCUAUCUUGUCUUGACCAGCUUAAGAAUUCCUGACCUUGGCCUGAUUCAUUCAUUUCUUGGAUUCCCACAUCAAGUGCAUCGGCGUCAUUUCCUGUGUCUAGCAUGGAAAACAAAUUUCUUGGUCUCACCAAAACAACAGUAGACCAUCCCGGCUUGUACACGAUAGGGACAUAAAACACUGGUUCAGCGUUUGAAGCAAGAAUGUAAGGUUCAUCUGAAUAUCUCAACAUGGAAGUAGCAAUGUCGAUAAUACCAUAUUUAUCCCUAGUGUACCCUCUGCUUCUGCUGGUACUGGUAGCUGGCACAUCAUACCAAUCACACUGAAACAAUAUAACUUCUUUUGCUUGUGGGAAUUCCAGUGAGAUUAUAUUUCUAAUGACUCCAUACCAGGUCAUGUUGCCUGUACUAUCGUCACCCUUCACAAGGACACCAGAAUUUUGUGUCAUGAGGCUUUUCUCUGUGGCAACUGUCCGAAAUAGCCAAUUAUUCAUGUGCACUAUUCAACACACGAGCUCGAGGGUCAGGUCCUUGAGAAAGGGCAUGCAUCAGUUUACUUGCUUCCCCUUUCUCGUAUAGUUUUGCUAUCUGCAAUUUAAAAAUCAAGUUAGACAUCUACCGGUUAAUUACUACGUCGGUCUGACCAUAAAGUGGAAUUUAAAAAUAUAAAAUAAUACUACAUACCUCGAUUUCAAACCAUCUUACAAAAUGCUCCUUGUGUCGUUUUUUAAUGUUGAUUGAACUAUCCCUUGUUAGUUGUGUCUUAUGCUCCCUACAUCAGAGUUCACCAAAUUAUUAGUUGAUGCCACAAACAAGCAGAUAAAAGAUAAAUUUAGUGGUAAAAAUUGCGAC